AUGGGUGAGAAAGUGUCUUAGUUCACUGAUCACACACAUAUUUUUGUGACAGAUUGGGAUGGCAUCAGAAAUCUUGUAAGUGCCUUGCCACAGACAAUCAAGAGACUGGUUCUUGUGUCAUCUAUUGGUGUUACAAAAUACAAUGAGAUACCAUGGAGCAUCAUGAAUCUGUUUGGUGUGCUCAAGUACAAGAAGAUGGGAGAAAACGUUGUUCGCAAUUCAGGAAUACCAUUCACGAUUAUCAGGCCUGGAAGAUUGACAGAUGGACCCUACACUUCAUAUGAUCUUAAUACACUUCUUAAAGCUACAGCUGGGGAGC